rnacentral:tRNA from 1 species
GCAGGGAUAUCGAAGCGGUCAUAACGAGGCGGUCUUGAAAACCGUUUGGCCCAAAGCCACGUGGGUUCGAAUCCCACUCCCUGCGCCA